AUAACUUAGACAUUGAAGAUCCUUGAAUUGGGAUCCCUACUGUCUGGAGUUGUCUGGCACCGUCCUUGUGGAAUUGACUCAUCUGUAAAAGGGAGUUAAGGGUACAUCAAUAUCCCGUGUCCAUAAAUUUAGAGGUGACUGGAGAACUCUCACAUAAGCGGCCACCUCACUUCACUGGCUGGAUCAUGGGGCAGCUCUUUCCCAAGCCCGGCGAGUGCCUGCAUGCAAGAAGGCGGGAUUCCUUCUGCCAGCAGUUAGCAUGGCACCUGCUGUGUAAGCAUCUUAAACAUGUGCCUAGAUGCGGGAGGCCAGAUGCGCAAGAUGGACACUCGGCUCCUCCUUCGUCCCCGCCUCUCCUCGCUUCCAGGGUAGCAGCCUCAACAAGGGAAACUAUUGUUCCAGUGGAGGCUGCGAGGAUGUCGGUGAUUUACGCGCCGAGCUGUAGCUGCAAAAGGACAAGGGCAAGUGCCGGCCCGACCUAGGGCCCACCGGUCUCUGGCUUGCUCUUGUGAGUAGGUGCACCCUGCCCGCUUGUGGUGGCCUCAGGGGUAAGAAAUCAGGACCCACCCAGUGAGAGAAAUAACCCAAGCUGUCAGCAACGCGGAAAGAAAUGGGCUAGCAACCUCUUAAAGCAUCCUCACGUACUGCGGCGAUGACUCUGUGCACAGACCAAGGAAGGAGAGAGGCCGCGGAAGUCAGGCUUGGUGGCAUGCAUGUUUAGUCCCAGCUACACAGCAGGGAGGCUGAGGCUGAAGGAAUACUUGAGCCCAGGAAUUCAAGACUAGCCUGCACAACAUAGUGAGACCCUGACUUUAAAAUAAAUUUAAAAAAAUUAAAAGCAACAAGACUUUCUGCUUGUAUAUGAUGAUGUUAGUAUGCUGACUUACAAGGUUAGAUCAUUUUGAUAUGUGUGAUGUAGGUUUUCAAAGCUGGCACUGUUUUAUGCUUCAAAUAUUAUUUUUAUUCAUUGGUUCUCAUGGGAUUUCAUCACUAAGCUGUAAAUCAAUAAUCAUAAUGUUGAGGGGAGGGGAUUACAAAAUAGCUCUUCAAAAUCAUCUUUGCAUUUCUCAAUAAACAGCAUUCCCUUUUGGACUACAGUGAAAAAUAUUGAGCUUUGUUUACUUUGAAAAUGAGUCUUAGUCUAUGAAUGCCUGGGUAGGGUCAAGAAUGAAAAAUGAGAGGAAGAGAGAAGCAUCAGGAAGAUAAAAUGAUCAAUCUCACAAAACUUGCUAUUUUUAGAAAGCAUCAUUCUAAUUUUGAAACCAAAAAAAUGGGGAAAAACAGAGUAAUGGAAUAAUAGAAUGCCUCAUGUACAAAAGCAACAAUUUCAGAGAUGAUCUAAAACAACUUAUUAGUUAUAGGAAGAAAUAUACCUGAAAAGGGCAAAAAUAAGUUGGGUUUGGCCUCUUGUCACUGAAAUUAUCUACUAAAUCUAACAGCAUCUAUGUUCCUUUAGCUGUUGUGUAUAUUGUACACAAAUGUGA
rnacentral:lncRNA from 10 species